CAUGGAAGCUCUUAAAGCUUCGUCCUUUCUUUCUUCACAGCUCACAACAAUCUCAAACAGACUUCAAUCAAAUCAAUUUCAAAAACCCAUAUUGUUUUUAACAUCAAAUCCAAAACCCAGUUUUUAUUUUUCAUUAAUUCCACAAAAAAAAAUCAAAAUUCAAGCUUUCUUCAACUAUAUCUCCAACUAUUUCGACCGAAUCCAAUAAUCCAUUUUCUCCAGAGAUUGAAUCUCAAGGAGAUGAAGAGAAAUUUGAUUGGUUUUCACAUUGGUAUCCAAUAGCAGCUGUUUGUGAUUUAGAUAAAAGAGUUCCUCAUGCUAGAAGAGUUAUAGGUCUUGAUAUUGUAAUUUGGUGGGAUAGAAAUGAAGAGAAAUGGCAAGUGUUUAAUGAUAGUUGUCCUCAUCGUUUAGCGCCACUUUCUGAAGGAAGGAUUGAUCAAUGGGGUCGGUUGCAGUGUGUUUACCAUGGUUGGUGUUUUAAUGGUUCUGGUGCUUGUAACUUCAUUCCUCAAGCUCCACCAGAUGGUCCACCGGUAAUCGUAUUCAAAGGAACCUAAUUUAUCUUUCGAAAAUAUUUAGCUGUUUAUAUGAUCAAUCAUCACCCAAUUAAAUUAUUUUGUUUGCAAGUUAGUCAUCUGCCUCAUGAAAAUAUGAUAAAAAGUAAAACAAAAAUGUUAGCGAGAGUGGGGACUGAUCAGACCCUCACAUACAGUUUAUACAGCAUUUGCAUCAAAUCAGCAUUGGAGUUUUAUUUAUUUCGAGUGGUAGUUUACAAGACUAGAAGUACGUUACAUACCAUGAUACCCGAAAGUGACAGAGGCAAUCAUCGUCACCAAACUACUCAAUAUGAAUUAAAACCUUGAUUCUAAUCUAACAUCAUUGUAGCAUGUAGUUUUCAUUUAUAUAUAAAAUGUGUAGCUUAUAGCUUGUCGAAACUAAGAAAUAGCCAAAUAGGAUUACAAUAUAUGUGAUCAAUGAACAGUGAACUAUGAUUCAAUGAAGUUUGUGUUUGUUGCUUGUCUGAUACCAUUUUGGUUUAUAGGUUUUCACUUUUCAUAGUUAGAUUCAAAAGUUAUAUUUGGGUAGCCAAAUUUACAAGGCUGAAUGUUUUUUUCAGGGAGAGAGUUUAUCCCCACAUUAUAAGGUGUUCAUAUUUAGUGAGCCUGAGCCCUUAUUCCUACUUAUAUAGGAUAUGAGACUAAGAGUGAAAUGUCGAGAUAGAAAACACAUACACACCAUACUUUCUUAUUCAAGAGGUAGAGAAACAAAAUUUCUAUGCGUGUGGGAAGCCAGUUAUUUAGAUUCUUCCUUCCAAAGAAGCAUUUAAUUUUAUAUUAUGCAAACACAUUUUUACCACCAAUAGACAUAUCACUUGGAGAUAAUGCCCAUCAGAAUUUGUUUCUUAAACCUAAUAUAGAAGUAUUGACGUCAGUAUCGCAAUCCACAGGUUCAUACAUCCAAAAAAGCAUGUGUAGCUGUUUAUCCAUGUAUUGUGCAGAAUAAAAUUCUUUGGUUUUGGCCAAGAUCUAAGACUCAGUAUAAAGAUAUUGCAACAAAGGAAAAACCUCCUUACGUCCCUGAGUUGGAUGAUCCAUCAUAUACAUCUGUAAUGACAUCAAGAGACAUUCCCUACGGGUAUGCAAUUGCCUAGUACCAUUUCCUGUUUUUUUCUUAAGUUAUAUAUAUAAUAUAUGGACUAUGAUAAUCCAAUUUGACUUAUUCUUAUUCUCCUACAACUGGUGAUUUGUUUUACUGAUAUAUAUGUGAGAAAUAUGCCUCCUAUAGGUAUUAGCAGGUCCAGAUCAUUUUCCUGGACAAAACGAUAUAGGCCAAACUAAAUGAAGAACAUUUUCAUUCUUAUACCAAACCCUUCUCAUUCAGAAAGUAUGGGAACUUUCUCCUAUAACUCAAAGAUAUUACAUUUGUACCACUCUGUUGUGAUUUAUUCACUUUACUGUGCUAUAGCAUGCUCCAUUAGAAAAAAUAGCUGUACAAAUGCACUUCGUUCCGUCUUUUGGUAGACAAGAACUUGCUGCAUAUAUUGUGCUAUGGAGUUGUUUCUGUUCUGAAGGUCUUGAUCAUUGAGUUCUUAUAAUUUGUGUUGAAAAUGAAUGGGUAUGGCAGGUAUGAAGUUCUCACCGAAAAUCUCAUGGACCCCGCUCAUGUUCCUUACGCUCACUAUGGCAUUCUAGUACCAAGUAAAAAACCAAGAUAAGUACCAAGUGAAGUUGGCAUUAUGAAAUGUGAAAACAAUUCCGUAGACAACCAGAUGUUAUGUAAAUAUUGGCUUUUUUUCCUUAAAAUUAAUCAUUACUAAACCAUUGAAUUCUUCCACAGAGAAGGCUGACCGAGAAGGAGGGAUGCCUUUGGAUAUAAACGUGACAAGACUAGACAAAAGUGGCUACUUGACGAAGCAGGCUAAUGCGUGUAACGAAUUUGUGGCACCCUGUUUAUUUUCUUAUUAUUCAAAUCCAGUGGCGGAUGGUGGGUCUUCCACGUCUGGGAGCGUACAGAAAGUAACGCAAUAAAUUUAUGUAAUAAUUUACAUUCUCUUGGUCUUGUUUUAUUCAUAGGUCUAUCUAACCACUUUUAAUUGUAAUUAUAUUCAGAAAACAUCAGAGCGACGAAUACUUUUGGUUUUCUUCUGUAUUCCUGUUAGUCCUGGUAAAAGUAGAGUGAUAUUUUCCUUCCCAAGAAACUUUGCAGUUUGGGUGGAUCGAGUUGUUCCACGUGGAUAUUGCAUAUUCGUUCAAAUCUGGCUCUAGAUUCAGAUAUGUACCUUCUUCACUUGCAGGUAACAUUAUGCCUUUAUUGAUAUAGUUAGAAAAUAUUUUUCUACAAAUGCUUUCUCUAAAUUCUACUAGUAUGCUGUUGAAAUUCUCUCUAAUACAAUGAUGAUUUAAAGAGUCGAAGAGAUAGCUACAUAUAGGAGAAGAAUGAGAUGUGGAUUUUGUGCCACAGGUCCAAUACUUGUAAAGCUAACUUUUGAACUAGAAAAUGUUAUAAAGAUAGCCACAUUUUUUUUUUCUCUUGAUCGAGUUGUUGUCUACCUAGAUGUUAUGAAUUCACAAUGCCUUUCUGGUUCUUUUCCAUCUUGGUACUGUAUAUUUAACCUUGAUCUGCUGGUCUAAUAUAACUAUGGACUGAUUUACAACCUUAGUUUUAUCUGUAUAGACAAAUUUAAUUAUUCUGAUGUUUUACUGUUUGGAACUUUUUCAGAGAGGUAAAGAGUACGAACACUAUCAACUCUCUUUCUAAUCACCUUCCCCUAGUAAAAUAGUUGUAUACUUGUAUCAUGUACUAUCUUUCUCUUAUUCUUUUGAAACUGUGUGUUGGUGCAGGAGCGUAAGCUAAUUGAUGUUGGCGUUUCUAAUUGGCUAAAAGUUUGCUUUGUUCCAACAAAAUCGGAUAAUAAUGUGAUUGCCUUUAGAAACUAGUUGAGGAAAUACUCUGGCAGUCAAAUUCAUUGGGCAGCCAAAUUUGGAGCAGAACUUCCUCCAACUCCUCCCAAAGAACAGCUAAUGGACAGGUACUCACACAUAAUUUUUACGACUACAGAUCUUAAGCAAUACUGCGGUUAGGAUGUAGUUACUUCUCUAUUAUUAAACCAUGCAAAAGAUUGCAAUUUUUGAAUUUCACAAUUUGUAAUAUAUCCCAGGUACUGGUCUCAUGUGGUAAAUUGCAGUAGCUGCAGUAAAGCAGUAAAUAGUCUCAAGGCAUUUGAGGUCGCCUUGCAAGUUAUUUCCAUAGCUACAAUUGGAAUCGUUGCAAUCAGGCAGAGUCUGAUGUCAGUGGUUGCCAAGAUUUUCAUGGUCUCUCUCGCAGUGUUGUGCUUUAUUGCUUCAAGGGGGUUGUCGCAUUUCAUCUACAAGACUUUCUAUUUCCAUGACUACAACCACGCUCUCGUAUGAAAGGAUUCUGGCGAAUUGAAAGUUGCUUCUCUAUAUGUACACUAAACAGUAGAAGAAUUCCUAUUAACUAUAGGUAUACAAAAUAAAUUGAAGGUGAAUCUGAAAGUCAAAUUCUUUCAAGUGUUAAUCAUUCAAACUCUGUUUGAGACAAUCAUUCACAAUUCUUACAUCAGUCCGUCAGCCUCGUGCUCAUGUUACUGUCAUUUAUGGAGAUGUCUCCAAGUGUCAUAAACUUGUAAGUUGUAACUACCUUAUUUGCAAACUAGACAUACUUUUUCAGUCCAGUUAAUAUUUAUCAUUGCAGAUCAUCUAAUGAAAACUUCAUUGCAUGAAUUUUCGUUGUGAUUUGAAAAUGAAUGUGACAAAUUGUGAGGUGUUCUGUAUUUAAUACUUAGUUGCUACUAGCAAAUUUAAUUUUUUUUUAUUAAACAAAAUUCAUGAAGAAAUAGUGAAAUACAUAAUGGUACAGGACAUGGAGGCUAUAAACUGCGCAGCAAACCCUUUAAAAAUCGAAAUACGUGUUUGAAAAUACAUAUUCGUUACAACAUGUAGUCCUCACAUUGGGAUUUGAAAGAAUUAAUUAAAACUUUAUAACCAUUACUACAACCGAAUGCAUUAUUCGAUACGAUCAAACCGAACCAAUCACCCACCACUCGUUCACUUCGUUCACUGUUAAACUUAAGAAGAGAUUGAGUAAUAGCAGUAACCAUGGAAGCUCUUAAACCUUCAUCCUUUCUUUCUUCAAAACUCUCAACAACAAUCUCAAACAGACUUCAAACCACACAAUUUCAAAAACCCAUCUUGUUUUUAACAUCAAAUCCAAAACCCAGUUUUUAUUUUCCAUCAAUUCCACAAAAUAAAUUAAAAUUCAAGCUUUCUUCAACUAUAUCUCCAACUGUUUCCACUGAAUCCAAAAACCCAUUUUCUCCAGAGAUUGAAAAUCAAGGAGAUGAAGAGAAAUUUGAUUGGUUUUCACAUUGGUAUCCAAUAGCAGCUGUUUGUGAUUUAGAUAAAAGAGUUCCUCAUGCUAGAAGAGUUAUAGGUCUUGAUAUUGUAUUUUGGUGGGAUAGAAAUGAAGAGAAAUGGCAAGUGUUUAAUGAUAGUUGUCCUCAUCGUUUAGCGCCACUUUCUGAAGGAAGGAUUGAUCAAUGGGGUCGGUUGCAGUGUGUUUACCAUGGUUGGUGUUUUAAUGGUUCUGGUGCUUGUAACUUCAUUCCUCAAGCUCCACCAGAUGGUCCACCG
rnacentral:lncRNA from 1 species